UUAAUCAUAAUAUAAGACUAAUUUCAUUUUCCCGAAAUAAAGAAGAUCUAUUCUAUUUAAUGUUUUAGAUAUUUAAUAAAUACUGUAGCAAUAGUAAAAUAUAAAGUAGAAUAGUAAUGAAAAAUUUAUCAAUUUUUAUGAUAUCUGGACGAAUUUUAUAUAUAUUUAGUAUAAAUUAGACAACCUAAAGGCUAUAAGGUCUUUAGAGGUAAAUAUUAUGUAUUAUAAAAUUUUUAUCGGUUUAAAUGUACCUUAUAAAUUUGUUACGAUUGAACUAAUUAUUAAUAUACAUUAAUAAUUUUAUUUUAAAUAAAAUUCUUAGUAUAAAAAUUAUGUAGCUUAUAUUUAAAUAAUGUUUAAAUUAGUAACUAAAUAAACUCUUAUUAAGGAACUCGGCAAAAAUAUAAAUUUUUAGAACUGUUUAUCAAAAACAUAGCCUAAAGAUAUUAUACAUUUUAGGUAACUCCUGCCCAGUGAAUUGAUAUUAAAUUUAAAUGGCCGCAGUACAUUGACUGUGCUAAGGUAGCAUAAUAAUUUGACUUUUAAAUGAAGUCUGGAAUGAAUGGAUGAACUUCUAGAAAAGCUGUCUAUAUAAGAUUUUUUUUAAAUUGAUUAAUGUGUGAAAAUACACAUAGCUUAUAUAAGAAAGACGAGAAGACCCUAAGAAUUUAACUUAUUUUAUGUAAUUUUACAUAUAUUUGUUUAGUUGGGGCAACUAAUAAACAUUUUAUAACUUUGUGUUUUACUAAAAUUAUAUAACAAUACAUAAUUAUAAAAAAUAAAUUACCUUAGGGAUAACAGCAUAAUUAUUUAUAUAGUUUGUGACCUCGAUGUUGGACUAGGUAAUUCUUUUAAUUAACCAUUAUAAGUAUAAGUUCUGUUCGAACAAUUAAUCAACCUACAUGAUCUGAGUUCAGACCGGC
rnacentral:rRNA from 1 species